CGCGUAGGCGGGAAUGCAAGUCAGAUGUGAAAUCCAGGGGCUUAACCCUUGAACUGCAUUUGAAACUGUAUUUCUUGAGUGUCGGAGAGGUUGACGGAAUUCCUAGUGUAGCGGUGAAAUGCGUAGAUAUUAGGAGUAACACCAGUGGCGAAGGCGGUCAACUGGACGAUAACUGACGCUGAGGCGCGAAAGCGUGGGGAGCAAACA
rnacentral:rRNA from 1 species